UACGUAGGGGGCAAGCGUUGUCCGGAUUUAUUGGGCGUAAAGAGCGUGUAGGCGGCCUGAAAGGUCAGCUGUGAAAACUCGAGGCUCAACCUCGAGACGUCGGUUGAAACCAUCUGGCUAGAGUCCGGAAGAGGAGUGUGGAAUUCCCGGUGUAGCGGUGAAAUGCGCAGAUAUCAGGAGGAACACCGGUGGCGAAGGCGGGUCUCUGGGCAGUAACUGACGCUGAGGAGCGAAAACGUGGGGAGCGAACAGG
rnacentral:rRNA from 1 species